UCGGAUAUGGUGUAGUGGCUAACAUACGACGCUCUCAAUGACGAGUUACCGUCGUGCCCGGGGUUCGAUUCCCCGUAUCCGAG
rfam:Magnaporthe oryzae 70-15 chromosome 3, whole genome shotgun sequence.